UGGCGGCAUGCUUUACACAUGCAAGUCGAACGGUAACAGGUCUUCGGAUGCUGACGAGUGGCGAACGGGUGAGUAAUACAUCGGAACGUGCCUAGUAGUGGGGGAUAACUACUCGAAAGAGUAGCUAAUACCGCAUGAGAUCUACGGAUGAAAGCAGGGGACCUUCGGGCCUUGUGCUACUAGAGCGGCUGAUGGCAGAUUAGGUAGUUGGUGGGGUAAAGGCUUACCAAGCCUGCGAUCUGUAGCUGGUCUGAGAGGACGACCAGCCACACUGGGACUGAGACACGGCCCAGACUCCUACGGGAGGCAGCAGUGGGGAAUUUGACAAUGGGCGAAAGCCUGAUCCGCAUGCCCGUCAGGAUAAGGCCUCGGGUUGAACGCUUUGACGGACAAAGGCUGGGGGCUUAUU
rnacentral:rRNA from 1 species